UCCCUGGUGGCUCAGUGGUAAAGAAUCUGCCUGCUAAUGCAGGAGACACGAGUUCGAUCUCUGGUCCAGGAAG
rnacentral:tRNA from 1 species